rnacentral:rRNA from 1 species
GCUAGCGUUGUUCGGAAUUACUGGGCGUCAAGCGCACGUAGGCGGCUUUGUAAGUUAGAGGUGAAAGCCCGGGGCUCAACCCCGGAAUUGCCUUUAAGACUGCAUCGCUUGAAUCCGGGAGAGGUGAGUGGAAUUCCGAGUGUAGAGGUGAAAUUCGUAGAUAUUCGGAAGAACACCAGUGGCGAAGGCGGCUCACUGGACCGGUAUUGACGCUGAGGUGCGAAAGCGUGGGGAGCAAACAGG